GACGAACGCUGGCGGCGUGCUUAACACAUGCAAGUCGAACGGAAAGGCCCUGCUUUUGUGGGGUUCUCGAGUGGCGAACGGGUGAGUAACACGUGAGUAACCUGCCCUUGACUUUGGGAUAACUUCAGGAAACUGGGGCUAAUACCGGAUAGGAUCUCCUGCUGCAUGGUGGGGGUUGGAAAGUUUCGGCGGUUGGGGAUGGACUCGCGGCUUAUCAGCUUGUUGGUGGGGUAGUGGCUUACCAAGGCUUUGACGGGUAGCCGGCAUGAGAGGGUGAACGGGCACAUUGGGACUGAGGUACGGACCAGACUGGAACGGGCGGCAGCAGUGGAGAGUCUGGCACAAUGGGCGGAAGCCUGAUGUAGAAACGCCGCGUGCGGGAUGCCGGCCUUCGGGUUGUAAACCGCUUUGGCAGGAGACGAAGAGGGCGUGACGGUAAUGGGUAAAGAAGCACCGGCUAACUACGUG
rnacentral:rRNA from 1 species